UGGGGAAUAUUGGACAAUGGGCGGAAGCCUGAUCCAGCCAUGCCGCGUGUGUGAAGUAGGCCUUAUGGUUGUAAAGCACUUUAAGCGAGGAGGAGGGUACUGGUAUUAAUACUACCAGGUACUGGACGUUACUCGCAGAAUAAGCACCGGCUAACUCUGUGCCAGCAGCCGCGGUAAUACAGAGGGUGCGAGCGUUAAUCGGAUUUACUGGGCGUAAAGCGUGCGUAGGCGGCUAAUUGAGUCGGAUGUGAAAUCCCCGAGCUUAACUUGGGAAUUGCAUUCGAUACUGGUUAGCUAGAGUGUGGGAGAGGAUGGUAGAAUUCCAGGUGUAGCGGUGAAAUGCGUAGAGAUCUGGAGGAAUACCGAUGGCGAAGGCAGCCAUCUGGCCUAACACUGACGCUGAGGUACGAAAGCAUGGGGAGCAAACAGG
rnacentral:rRNA from 1 species